UCGGGAAUUUUGGGCAAUGGGGGAAACCCUGACCCAGCAACGCCGCGUGAAGGAUGAAGUAUUUCGGUAUGUAAACUUCGAAAGAAUAGGAAGAAUAAAUGACGGUACUAUUUAUAAGGUCCGGCUAACUACGUGCCAGCAGCCGCGGUAAUACGUAGGGACCAAGCGUUGUUCGGAUUUACUGGGCGUAAAGGGCGCGUAGGCGGUGUGUCAAGUCAGUUGUGAAAUCUCCGAGCUUAACUCGGAACGGUCAACUGAUACUGUCACACUAGAGUACAGAAGGGGCAAUCGGAAUUCUUGGUGUAGCGGUGAAAUGCGUAGAUAUCAAGAGGAACACCUGAGGCGAAGGCGGGUUGCUGGGCUGAUACUGACGCUGAGGCGCGAAAGCUAGGGUAGCAAACGGGAUUAGAUACCCCGGUAGUCCCUGAGCGGGCUGGCAAGGCGCAU
rnacentral:rRNA from 1 species